rnacentral:lncRNA from 1 species
AUUUGAGUUUGACAUGUGGCAAGCUUAUAGAAAGAUGCAUGAUAAACAUUUAAUUUGAUUUAAUUGUAUAUAUAAUUAUAAUUUGAUUUAAUAGUGUUUAAUAGUGUUACCUAAUAAAAUUCUAGUUAAUUAUAAUAUAAUUAUAAUAAUAGUGUUUAAUUAAUAGUGAUUUAAUUUGAUUUAAUAGUGUUUCCUAAUCUAUUUAUUAAAUUGCUAUUCUAUUUUGACACGUGGUAAGCAUAUAGAAAGCCACGUGUCAGUUUUAUACCAAGAGUUCUAUUUUAGUAUAUAAUAAAUAGAUUUCUCUAUAUAUUAAUGGUUGGUGGAUUGGUGGGUUGGUAU